rnacentral:rRNA from 1 species
UACGGAGGGGGCAAGCGUUGUUCGGAAUUACUGGGCGUAAAGGGCGCGCAGGCGGCUGCUCAAGUCAGGUGUGAAAGCCCCGGGCUCAACCUGGGAAUUGCAUUUGAGACUGCAUAGCUAGGGUGCGGAAGAGGGAAGCGGAAUUUCCGGUGUAGCGGUGAAAUGCGUAGAUAUCGGAAGGAACAUCAGUGGCGAAAGCGGCUUCCUGGUCCAGCACCGACGUUCAGGCACGAAAGCGUGGGGAGCAAACAGG